AGUGAACGCUGGCGGUAGGCCUAACACAUGCAGGUCGAACGGCAGCACAGUAAGAGCUUGCUCUUACGGGUGGCGAGUGGCGGACGGGUGAGGAAUACAUCGGAAUCUACUUUUUCGUGGGGGAUAACGUAGGGAAACUUACGCUAAUACCGCAUACGACCUACGGGUGAAAGCAGGGGAUCUUCGGACCUUGCGCGAUUGAAUGAGCCGAUGUCGGAUUAGCUAGUUGGCGGGGUAAAGGCCCACCAAGGCGACGAUCCGUAGCUGGUCUGAGAGGAUGAUCAGCCACACUGGAACUGAGACACGGUCCAGACUCCUACGGGAGGCAGCAGUGGGGAAUAUUGGACAAUGGGCGCAAGCCUGAUCCAGCCAUACCGCGUGGGGGAAGAAGGCCUUCGGGUUGUAAAGCCCUUUUGUUGGGAAAGAAAAGCAGCAGGUUAAUACCCCGCUGUUCUGACGGUACCCAAAGAAUAAGCACCGGCUAACUUCGUG
rnacentral:rRNA from 1 species